rnacentral:rRNA from 1 species
GACGGAGGGGGCAAGCGUUGUCCGGACUUACUGGGCGUAAAGCGCGCGUAGGUGGCGCGGUGCGUCGGUGCUGAAAGCGCCGGGCUUAACCCGGCGAGGUGUGCCGAUACGACCGCACUCGAGGCAGGGAGAGGAUGGCGGAAUGCCGGGUGUAGUAGUGAAAUGCGUAGAUACCCGGCGGAACGCCAGAGACGAAGGUGGCCAUCUGGCCCUGACCUGACACUGAGGCGCGAUAGCGUGGGGAGCAAACCGG